rnacentral:rRNA from 1 species
UACAGAGGUCUCAAGCGUUGUUCGGAUUCAUUGGGCGUAAAGGGUGCGUAGGUGGCGCGGUAAGCCGGGUGUGAAAUUUCGGAGCUUAACUCCGAAACUGCAUUCGAUACUGCCGUGCUUGAGGACUGGAGAGGAGACUGGAAUUUACGGUGUAGCAGUGAAAUGCGUAGAGAUCGUAAGGAAGACCGGUGGCGAAGGCGGCUUCCUGGACACUAACUGACGCUGAGACGCGAAAGCGUGGGGAGCAAACAGG